rnacentral:rRNA from 1 species
AAUAUUGGACAAUGGGGGCAACCCUGAUCCAGCCAUGCCGCGUGUGUGAAGAUGGUCUUCGGAUUGUAAAGCACUUUAAGUUGGGAGGAAGGGCUUUAGGUUAAUACCCUGAAGUUUUGACGUUUCCAACAGAAUAAGCACCGGCUUACUCUGUUCCAGCCGCCGCGGUAAUACAAUGGGUGCAAGCGUUAAUCGGAAUUACUGGGCGUAAAGCGCGAGUAGGUGGUUCAGUAAGAUGGGUGUGAAAUCCCCGGGCUUAACCUGGGAACUGCUUUCAUAACUGCUGAGCUAGAGUACGGUAGAGGGUAGUGGAAUUUCCUGUGUAGCGGUGAAAUGCGUAGAUAUAGGAAGGAACACCAGUGGCGAAGGCGACUACCUGGACUGAUACUGACACUGAGGUGCGAAAGCGUGGGGAGCAAAC